AGAGUUUGAUCCUGGCUCAGGACGAACGCUGGCGGCGUGCUUAACACAUGCAAGUCGAGCGAUGAAGCACCUUCGGGUGUGGAUUAGCGGCGAACGGGUGAGGAACACGUGAAGAAUCUGCCUUCAACUCUGGGAUAACUCCGGGAAACCGGGGCUAAUACCGGAUAUGAGCCUUGGCCGCAUGGCCGGGGCUGGAAAGUUUUUCGGUUGAAGAUGACUUCGCGGCCUAUCAGCUUGUUGGUGAGGUAACGGCUCACCAAGGCGACGACGGGUAGCCGGCCUGAGAGGGCGACCGGCCACACUGGGACUGAGACACGGCCCAGACUCCUACGGGAGGCAGCAGUGGGGAAUAUUGGGCAAUGGAGGAAACUCUGACCCAGCGACGCCGCGUGAGGGAUGAAGGCCUUCGGGUUGUAAACCUCUUUCAGUAGGGAAGAAGCGAAAGUGACGGUACCUACAGAAGAAGCACCGGCUAACUAUGUGCCAGCAGCCGCGGUAAUACAUAGGGUGCAAGCGUUGUCCGGAAUUAUUGGGCGUAAAGAGCUCGUAGGUGGUUCGAUACGUCGGAUGUGAAAAUCAGGGGCUCAACCCCUGACCUGCAUUCGAUACGGUCGAGCUAGAGUUUGGUAGGGGAGACUGGAAUUCCUGGUGUAGCGGUGGAAUGCGCAGAUAUCAGGAGGAACACCGAUGGCGAAGGCAGGUCUCUGGGCCAAUACUGACACUGAGGAGCGAAAGCGUGGGGAGCGAACAGGAUUAGAUACCCUGGUAGUCCACGCCGUAAACGGUGGGCGCUAGUUGUGCGAACCUUCCACGGUUUGUGCGACGCAGCUAACGCAUUAAGCGCCCCGCCUGGGGAGUACGAUCGCAAGAUUAAAACUCAAAGGAAUUGACGGGGCCCCGCACAAGCAGCGGAGCAUGCGGCUUAAUUCGACGCAACGCGAAGAACCUUACCAAGGCUUGACAUAUACAGGAAUACGGCAGAGAUGUCGUAGCCGCAAGGUCUGUAUACAGGUGGUGCAUGGUUGUCGUCAGCUCGUGUCGUGAGAUGUUGGGUUAAGUCCCGCAACGAGCGCAACCCUCGUUCUGUGUUGCCAGCAUUUAGUUGGGGACUCACAGGAGACUGCCGGGGUU
rnacentral:rRNA from 1 species